CACAACCCAAGCCCAUUCCCUUUACUCUUAUCUUAAUUAAGAAAAAACCUACAGACCUACACCCUUUAGCUUCAGCCGCAACAGUGCAAAAAAAAAAAAAAAAAAUUCCCCCACGUCGAUCUUUUUCUUCUUCAGAAGAGAAGAACUCUUCAGCCAUGAAAGGAGCUUAAUAUAAAAAAGAAGCAACCACAUAUCGAUGCAGCUUUAGCCAUAACACACACCAUAAGCUUCUUCCUCGUUGAAACAAAAACCAACAAACUCGUUUUCUAUGAAGCCUAAGCUUCCUCUUCUUAUUCUAGAGAAGGAUCCCCUAAAUCAAAACACACAGUCUCCACCCUCACAAAACCAACGAAGCUUCUUCUUCCUCCAAAGAAUCGAGAAAAAGCUAGGUUGCUUCUUCUUUCGCCUGGAACCAUCGCCGCAGUCAGCUUGCCAACAACCAACGAAGCUUAAUGGCUUCCGUCCUCUCCUUCCCUCCAUGUGUGACGAGUUUCAGAUCUAGUCGAGUGUUUGGUUAAACCCGGCGACCACCUCCAGUCCAAAAUGAGAGCAGCAGUAGUGAGGAAAUGUUUCUGCUUUUUCUUCUCGUAUUUUCAAUUUUUGUCGGAAAACAGAGAAGUAAAGCAGAGGGUUGAUUUGCUUCAGUGCCGGUUCGAGUUUAUCUCCAGUCGCCGGCUCUGUUCAUAGUCACCGGCGAAAGUUCCUGUCCGUUAUUUACAAACUGCUGUAGUUCAAGUUGAGAUCUAUAAUUACAGAAGGAUCAUUCUCUUAAUUACUCAUUUCUUCUAUUAACCAUCUGUAAUUAGUUAUGACUUUAAGAGCGAUAUUAGUUUCUUGUACAUGUUUAUUCUUUUGGAUGAUAUGCUAUAGUGUUUCGUCGCAUCCAAAAAUAAAUUUUAUGACCUACCAUUUAGACACAUAAUCUUUGAAAGCAUAUAUGCAUUCAAGAAUUAGGCUUGAUGGUCUCUUGCGUUAUAGUAAUCAACAUUCGUAAUAAAUGUGCUAAUUGAUCUAAAAGAGAAUUCGAC
rnacentral:lncRNA from 1 species